CUGCCCUACAAUAUAGACCAUUACCUACUGUAUAUUCCAGAAGCAAGAUUAAUCAUAUGACCCUCCUCUCAUAAUGUCAUGGAAGACAGUUAUUUCUAUUACAGGAAUACUUCAUGUUCAUUUCCAGGUUUAAGUAAAAUAUGUGGAUCACUCAUAAAUGGAUGCCAUACUAUUUGGUCUGACUCCCGCUCCAUAGCGAUUGAAUUAGCCUACAUGUCUUUAAAAAAAAAUGUUAUCAACUGUUACUAAUGAUCCUCAGCAACAACCGGCAUGGCUGUGACAUCCUUUACAGAGAAAGCAAAUUAAGGUAAACAAAACAAUGUUAUUAAAUGAAAUUAUAAUGUAGGCUAUACCACCUAAUGGGAAACUACAGUUGAAUAUGUUCGGUUAUUAGGCCUACUGAUGGGCGAUACUUGAUAGUGGCUAAUAUUUAACAUGAUAGAAAUAGGAAAGAGGGAAAGCCAUGUUAGCUUAUAAUUAAGACAUUUGGGAAUGCCCAUCUCUGCAAAGUAAAAGGCUGUACAAUUUAAAUUCUCCAUAAUGACACAGAAUUUCAUCAACUUUACUGUGGGAAUGUUGAUAUGCUUCAGUUUGCUGCCAUAUGACUGGUUUCACCUUUGUCUCCAGCGAUUGUAAGGUAAAAUACAUUGCCUUCAUAAAAGUAUUUACACCCCUUUACAUUUUCCACAAAUUGUUGUGUUACAACGUGGGAUUAAAAUGGAUUGAAUUGUCAUUCUUCCAUUUAGUUUGAAGUGCACAUUAGAGGCAGCAUUCUGAUAAAGGCCACAAAUGUUUGUAUUAUAAGUCAAUAAAUGUAAAAAAAAAAAUAUAAAAAAAUUCAAUGAACAUUUCUUUACAGAAUCUUCCCUAAAGAGAGCAUAAUAAACACAAGGCCAUGUGUCCACGAAGAGAGGACUAUGAUCUGGCUAAAGGCCAAGGAGGAGAAAAAAAAACUUGAUUAAAUAUUCUGUUUUUUAAAGGGGAUCCUGUUUUCCUCUUCCUCUCUCUCGUCUAUAUUUCUGUCAGUUUUUCUCUCGCACUCUUGCCCCCUCCUUUUCCCUCCUUCUGCCCCUUCCUCCUGCUCUGAGAGGAGAGGGAUGCUUCAAGGGCUGUAAUCCAGGCAGCAGGUAAGGAAAUGACAAUCCUGAGCAAAAUAGAGACACUAUGUUCUCCAUACAGUGUCUCUGUCUUAUAGGCUGUGAGAUUUAAAAAAAAAAAAUUCUCUCAAAUAUUGUACCUGAAUAUUAUCAAAUUGAAAAUAUUACUGCUUGGGGUCUGUAGUCCUGAUUUGAUUUCAUGUAUUUUGUUAAGGUAUCAGAACUCUUUGGGUUGUCUGUCGUAUUUGAUCAAACUACCCAGCCGAACAACGAGUGGAUCUGAACAUAAAGUACAAAGUCACUUCAAAAAGAGGAAUGAGGAAUGGUUGAGGAUUGAGAGGUUGAGGAAUGAACCUUCCAAUGAUACCUCACAUCACGGGUGUCCACUUAGGAUGACAAGACGUCAGAGACCUUACUGUGCUGUGCUUCCACAAGGCAACAUGUAAGGCAACAUAAUCAAUGUGGGGCUAUGCGUUCUUUGGAAAAUAAUGCACGACGUGGAAUGUGUGUGCCACGACGCAUAGCGGAGUGGCACUGACAUUCCACGGAGUUGCAUAAUUUUUUUCUCCAGAAAAAGCAUAGAGCCCGAGUUAAUUAUCCUGCUUAUACUAUGG
ensembl:lncRNA